UCCAAUGUUAAAUUUUUGGUUCAAGUGAUACAGAAUGACGUCAGGGUGAUACAGAGAUACAGAACGGCGUCCAUCUUUGAUUUGAUACAGAUAUUAUCAUCUCUACAGAGGAUGAAAUCCAUAAAUAAAUAUUAUUUGAAUAAUUCUCUAUUAUAUCAGUGUUUAAUGAUAUUUAGAUAGUUUUUAAUAUUGGUUUCAAUUGACCUACAGAUUUUUUGGUUAUUUUUUUUUUUGACUGAAAAUUGUACUCAACUCAAAAUGAAUUGAGGUUAUGAAAAUAUUAACCAUCGAUAACCAAUUUUUGGAAUUUUUAGUCUGAAUCUAAAUUUAAAAGAGGAAUAGGACAGUUUUUAUCUCAUCUCUCCGAUCAUUUUGAUUUAAAUUAUAUGUGGAAAUAAUUAAAGAAUGAAACUGUUAAUUUGGUAAACAGAUACAGGAAUUUGGAGGUUAGCCUAUUUAUAUUUAGCAUAUUUUCCUAGUUUUAUCCCAACCUAGCAAAUAAUAACAGUUUAGCUUGUUAGAACGACAACUUGUUGCUUGGUAUGGAUUGUAAGACACAGAAGAAGACGCAUUUAGAUGUUUUUGGAUCUUGAAUCUUGAUGCUCACAGAAAAGCAAGUCAACCAGACAGGCUCUGAAAAUUGAUGAAAUGGAACAAAUUAUUUGGACAAGACACUAGAAAAAUUCUACUCGGUCGGUUUUGAAAUCAUACCU